AACCUUUCUUUUUUAUCAAAAAUACUUUUUGAAAAAUAAUUUUUUUAAAAAUUAAUCUACUUAUGCUUAGUUUGGUAUUUGGUAUUGAGGUCUAUCUAACACUAUUAGAUAAAAUGGAGUUGAAGAAAAAGUAGGUGAGACCGCAGAAAAUAUAUCGUAACCGACUCAUCGCGAUAUGCGGAAUGCAAUCUUACGUACGGAAAUAAACUGGAUAUUUUUCCAACGUAUUUUUUCACCACACAUAACGCAAUUUCUUCGCAAUCCCAAACGAAGCCUUAAUAAGAUGGUAUCAGAGCCCAUUGUAAACUCUGUACAAAUGGGA
rnacentral:lncRNA from 1 species